rnacentral:rRNA from 1 species
GAUAAGACCACAAAGGCCUUGGCCUAUGUGGCCAAAGUCGGCCUCUCGAAGAAGCCGGCGCCCAAGGAUGGGCCCGCGGACCAUUAGCUAGUUGGUGAGGUAACGGCUCACAAAGGCUGAGAUGGUUAGCUGGUCUGAGAGGAUGAUCAGCCACACUGGAACUGAGAUACGGUCCAGACUCCUACGGGAGGCAGCAGUGAGGAAUAUUGCGCAAUGGAGGCAACUCUGACGCAGCAACGCCGCGUGGGUGAAGAAGGCUUUCGGGUUGUAAAGCCCUGUCAGGUGGGAAGAAACCUCUUUGAGUAAAUAGCUCAGAGAACUGACGGUACCACCAAAGGAAGCACCGGCUAACUCCGUGCCAGCAGCCGCGGUAAGACGGAGGGUGCAAGCGUUGUUCGGAAUCACUGGGCGUAAAGCGCGUGUAGGCGGUCCGAUUAGUCGAGUGUGAAAGCCCGAGGCUCAACCUCGGAAGCGCAUUCGAAACUGUCGGGCUUGAGUAC